rnacentral:rRNA from 1 species
AUUGAACGCUGGCGGCAGGCUUAACACAUGCAAGUCGAGCGAGCGGCGGACGGGUGAGUAAUGUCUGGGAAACUGCCUGAUGGAGGGGGAUAACUACUGGAAACGGUAGCUAAUACCGCAUACCAUCAGAUGUGCCCAGAGGGGCUUAGCUAGUAGGUGGGGUAAUGGCUCACCUAGGCGACGAUCCCUAGCUGGUCUGAGAGGAUGACCAGCAACAGUGGAGCGGAGACACGGUCUAGACUCCGACGUGAGGCAGCAGUGGGGAAUAUUGCACAAGGGGCGCAAGCCUGAUGCAGCCAAUCCGCGUGUGUGAAGAAGGCCUGCGGGUUGUAAAGCACUUUCAGCGAGGAGGCGUUACUCGCAGAAGAAGCACCGGCUAACUCCGUGCCAGCCGCCGCGGUAAUUC